rnacentral:tRNA from 1 species
GGAUCCAUAGCUCAGUUACUUAGCGCGCCAGUCUACUAAACUGGAGGUCGAGGGUUCGAAUCACCUGGUGCCU